CUGCUAUGACGGGGGAUCCGGCCUGAGAGGGUGAACGGACACACUGGAACUGAGACACGGUCCAGACUCCUACGGGAGGCAGCAGUAGGGAAUAUUGCUCAAUGGGGGAAACCCUGAAGCAGCAACGCCGCGUGGAGGAUGAAGGUUUUAGGAUUGUAAACUCCUUUUGUUAGAGAAGAUAAUGACGGUAUCUAACGAAUAAGCACCGGCUAACUCCGUGCCAGCAGCCGCGGUAAUACGGAGGGUGCAAGCGUUACUCGGAAUCACUGGGCGUAAAGAGCGCGUAGGCGGGAUAGUCAGUCAGGUGUGAAAUCCUAUGGCUUAACCAUAGAACUGCAUUUGAAACUACUAUUCUAGAGUGUGGGAGAGGUAGGUGGAAUUCUUGGUGUAGGGGUAAAAUCCGUAGAGAUCAAGAGGAAUACUCAUUGCGAAGGCGACCUGCUGGAACAUUACUGACGCUGAUUGCGCGAAAGCGUGGGGAGCAAACAGGAUUAGAUACCCUGGUAGUCCACGCCCUAAACGAUGGAUGCUAGUUGUUGGAGGGCUUAGUCUCUCCAGUAAUGCAGCUAACGCAUUAAGCAUCCCGCCUGGGGAGUACGGUCGCAAGAUUAAAACUCAAAGGAAUAGACGGGGACCCGCACAAGCGGUGGAGCAUGUGGUUUAAUUCGAAGAUACACGAAGAACCUUACCUAGGCUUGACAUUGAGAGAAUCCGCUAGAAAUAGUGGAGUGUCUAGCUUGCUAGACCUUGAAAACAGGUGCUGCACGGCUGUCGUCAGCUCGUGUCGUGAGAUGUUGGGUUAAGUCCCGCAACGAGCGCAACCCCCUUUCUUAGUUGCUAACAGGUCAUGCUGAGAACUCUAAGGAUACUGCCUCCGUAAGGAGGAGGAAGGUGGGGACGACGUCAAGUCAUCAUGGCCCUUACGCCUAGGGCUACACACGUGCUACAAUGGGGUGCACAAAGAGAAGCAAUACUGCGAAGUGGAGCCAAUCUUCAAAACGCCUCUCAGUUCGGAUUGUAGGCUGCAACUCGCCUGCAUGAAGCUGGAAU
rnacentral:rRNA from 1 species